rnacentral:tRNA from 1 species
UACCAGGGAUGGGAAUCGAACCCACAGUGUUCCGAUUACCGGGCAGAUGCCAUGUCUACUCGGCUACCCUGGA